AAUCUGUCCUUUUUUUGUUGUUGAAUCACAAACAGAUGAAGAUGGCUGCAGCCACUGGAAGAGAUCAUGACAUUUGGCACUGGAAAUGGAUAACAUGAAGUACAGAUGAAUUAAAACCGAUCUAAGGAUUACCACUAGAAAAAGGGUGCCCUGAGAAGUGCAGAUGAAGACCGGUCCAGGGAUUGCCACUGGAAAAGGGUGACAUGGGAAGUGCAGAUGAAUAAAUGGUUCAAGGAUUGCCACUUGUGAAACCUGAGAAUUGCAGAUGAAGAGAGGUCCAAAGAUUACCACGAGGGGAAAAAAGGGUGACCAGAGAGGUAGAUAAAUGAAGUAUCUGGUUGCGU